GGGGAUGUAAAGGUUUCGACGGGGAUCACAAACCUUGGUAAGCGAGUAGUGGUGAGGCACCACUUUAAAAGCUUCAACUUAAAAAAUAAACAACAACAAUAAAGUUGCUUUAGCUGCUUAAUGCAGCUCGCUCCCCUAUUGAGUACCACGGCAAUAGGCUGAGCGUCGACUAGUGGUUCCUGUGAACAGCCCACGCCUUUAAGCUGUCACACACAAAAGGCUACCAAGGCACAAAGCCUGUUGUUGGGCGUUGUGUCAAGGGAAUGUUAAUACAUCAACUGCACUCGGAGAAAGCCUUGGGGCGAGGUUUUCGGACAGGAGUUCGAUUCUCCUCAUCUCCACCA
rnacentral:tmRNA from 1 species